rnacentral:tRNA from 1 species
GUGCCGUUAGCUCAGUUGGUCAGAGCACCCGGCUCAUAACCGGGCGGGCGUGGGUUCGAGCCCCACACGGCGCA